rnacentral:rRNA from 1 species
GUCUCUCCUUGGAGAGAUAGUGGCGGACGGGUGAGUAACACGUUAGAUGACUUGCCUUUUGGUGGGGAAUAACUCCUCGAAAGAGGAGCUAAUACCGCAUAGCUUCUGUGUUGUUGGACAUAGAAGAAAGCUUUCGCUUCGCGAGAAGCGGAGGCGCCGAAGGAGGGGUCUGCGGCGGAUUAGCUAGUUGGUGGGGUAACGGCUCACCAAGGCGACGAUCCGUAGCUGGUCUGAGAGGACGGCCAGCCACACUGGGACUGAGACACGGCCCAGACUCCUACGGGAGGCAGCAGUAAGGAAUAUUCCACAAUGGGCGCAAGCCUGAUGGAGCGACGCCGCGUGAGGGACGAAGCCCCUUGGGGUGUAAACCUCUUUUUUGGGGGAUGAAACGAUGGGGUAACCCAUCUAAGACAGUACCCCAAGAAUAAGCAUCGGCUAACUACGUGCCAGCAGCCGCGGUAAUACGUAGGAUGCAAGCGUUGUCCGGAUUUACUGGGCGUAAAGCGCGCGCAGGCGGCACUGCAAGUAAGGUGUGAAAUCUCCAUGCUAAACGUGGAGGGUGCACCUUAGACUGCGGAGCUAGAGGUCGGUAGAGGGGGUGGAAUUGCUGGUGUAGCGGUGAAAUGCGUAGAGAUCAGCAGGAACACCCGUGGCGAAGGCGGCCCCCUGGGCCGUACCUGACGCUGAGGCGCGAAGGCUAGGGGAGCGAACGGGAUUAGAUACCCCGGUAGUCCUAGCAGUAAACGAUGGCCACUAGGUGUGGGGGGGGUGUUGACCCCUUCCGUGCCGAAGCUAACGCAUUAAGUGGCCCGCCUGGGGAGUACGGUCGCAAGACUAAAACUCAAGGGAAUUGACGGGGACCCGCACAACCAGCGGAGCGUGUGGUUUAUUCGAUGCGA